UUUCGAACGAGUCUUUUCCUAAUUCACCAAAGACGGUGACGCCUAUCCAAUCAUUGUUUUUACAAACUUGGGAAAGGGACUGAAAUUUCGGAACGAGGUUGAGCACAUCUGUAGCGUUUGGAAGUUGAAUUACAAGCCACUUUGGUCCAUCAUCUAUUAACACAGGAGGAGAAACUUGAGAACUAUAAUUCAGAGGAAUACCCAAUGCAUUUUCUACUUCUG